rnacentral:rRNA from 1 species
GAUGAACGCUAGCUACAGGCUUAACACAUGCAAGUCGAGGGACCGGCGCACGGGUGAGUAACACGUAUCCAACCUGCCCUUUACUCGGGGAUAGCCUUUCGAAAGACAGAUUACUACCCGAUAUCACGGAUGGGGAUGCGUUCCAUUAGGUUUUUGGUGAGGGAACUGCUCACCAAGACUUCUCUGGAUAGGGGUUCUGAGAGUAAGGUCCCCCACAUUGGAACUGAGACUCGGUCCAAACUCCUACGGGAGGCAGCAGUGAGUAAUAUUGGUCAAUGUGCGCUAGCCUGAACCAGCCAAGUAGCGUGAAGGAUGAAGGCUUAUGGGUCUUAAACUUCUUUUAUAUAGGAAUAUGUAUUAUAUGAAUAAGGAUCGGCUAACUCCGUGCCAGCAGCCGCGGUAAUUC